CCCUAGUAACGGCGAGUGAAGCGGGAAGAGCUCAAAUUUGAAAGCUGGCGCCUUCGGCGUCCGCGUUGUAAUCUCGAGAAGUGUUUUCCGUGCUGGACCAUGUACAAGUUCCUUGGAAUAGGACGUCAUAGAGGGUGAAAAUCCCGUCCUUGACAUGGACGCCCAGUGCUUUGUGAUACGCUCUCCACGAGUCGAGUUGUUUGGGAAUGCAGCUCAAAAUGGGUGGUAAAUUCCAUCUAAAGCUAAAUAUUGGGGAGAGACCGAUAGCGAACAAGUACCGUGAGGGAAAGAUGAAAAGCACUUUGGAAAGAGAGUUAAACAGUACGUGAAAUUGUCGAAAGGGAAGCGCUUGAAGUUAGACAUGCCUGCUGGAAUUCAGCCUUGCUUUUUGCUUGGUGUAUUUUCCGGUGAGCAGGCCAGCAUCAGUUUUGUCUGUCGGAUAAGGGUAGGAGGAACGUAGCCCCCCUCGGGGGGUGUUAUAGCCUCUUACUGGAUACGGCGGAUGGGACUGAGGACCGCAGUGUGCCUUUAUGGCGGGCCUUCGGGCACCUUCACACUUAGGAUGCUGGCGUAAUGGCUUUAAGCGACCCGUCUUGAAACACGGACC
rnacentral:rRNA from 1 species